GAUGAACGCUGGCGGCGUGCCUAAUACAUGCAAGUCGAGCGAACGGACGAGAAGCUUGCUUCUCUGAUGUUAGCGGCGGACGGGUGAGUAACACGUGGAUAACCUACCUAUAAGACUGGGAUAACUUCGGGAAACCGGAGCUAAUACCGGAUGAUAUUUUGAACCGCAUGGUUCAAAAGUGAAAGACGGUCUUGCUGUCACUUAUAGAUGGAUCCGCGCUGCAUUAGCUAGUUGGUAAGGUAACGGCUUACCAAGGCAACGAUGCAUAGCCGACCUGAGAGGGUGAUCGGCCACACUGGAACUGAGACACGGUCCAGACUCCUACGGGAGGCAGCAGUAGGGAACCUUCCGCAAUGGGCGAAAGCCUGACGGAGCAACGCCGCGUGAGUGAUGAAGGUCUUCGGAUCGUAAAACUCUGUUAUUAGGGAAGAACAUAUGUGUAAGUAACUGUGCACAUCUUGACGGUACCUAAUCAGAAAGCCACGGCUAACUACGUG
rnacentral:rRNA from 1 species